AUUAGGAGCGGAGGGUCCUCGGGGCCCAACCUCCCAUCCGUGUUGUCCUGACACCUGUUGCUUCGGCGGGCCCGCCGUGGUUCACGCCCCGGCCGCCGGGGGGUUCACGCCCCCGGGCCCGCGCCCGCCGAAGACCCCUGGAACGCUGCCUGGAAGGUUGCCGUCUGAGUAUACAAUCAAUCAAUUAAAACUUUCAACAACGGAUCUCUUGGUUCCGGCAUCGAUGAAGAACGCAGCGAAAUGCGAUAAGUAAUGUGAAUUGCAGAAUUCCGUGAAUCAUCGAAUCUUUGAACGCACAUUGCGCCCCCUGGCAUUCCGGGGGGCAUGCCUGUCCGAGCGUCAUUGCUAACCCUCCAGCCCGGCUGGUGUGUUGGGCCGCCGUCCCCCCUCCCCGGGGGACGGGCCCGAAAGGCAGCGGCGGCGUCGCGUCCGGUCCUCGAGCGUAUGGGGCUCUGUCACACGCUUCAGUAGAACCGGCCGGCUUGCUGGCCAUCACCUAUAUUUUUCUCUUAGGUUGACCUCGGAUCAGGUAGGGAUACCCGCUGAACUUAAGCAUAUCAAUAAGGCGGAGGAAGGAUCAUUACCGAGUGAGGGUCCCUCGGGGCCCAACCUCCAUCCGUGUUGUCCUGACACCUGUUGCUUCGGCGGGCGCCGUGGGUUCACGACCGGGCGCGGGGGGGGUUUACGCCCCGGGCGCGCCCCAAAAAACGAAACAGGAGAGCGUGGGAGGGGAUGGCGCUCCGCAUUAUACAUACCACUACAAUUUAAAACUUUUCACACGGGAUCUCCUUGUGUUUCGGCAUCGAUGAAGAACGCAACAAAUGGAUAAGGUAAUGGUGAAUUUGGCAGAAAUCGUGAAUAUUCAAUCUUGAAUCACUCGCGUGCGUCGCGCGGGAUGUGGUAGUACUUACGUACGUCAG
rnacentral:rRNA from 1 species